rnacentral:lncRNA from 1 species
GGAUAAGGGCUCGUCACAGGUUGGUUUCUAAGAAUGGGAACCUCAUUUGCUUGGUUUGUUGUGGUAAGGCCGACAUACAUAGUUCCCUUGGGGAAGAAAGACUGAUUGUAUCAGCCAGGUCAUUAGGUUCCAGAGAAUCAAUUGAUGGAGUGGUCUGGUCUCUUUGAGUUAUUCAUCUAUGAAUUUUUGGAUUUCUUUUCUUGUGUAGGGCGGAGGCUUCUGGUUCAACAGGAAGACUCGAAUUCAUAUUACGUCAGUGAGCAGCUCUCCCAGAUAGGACUUCGUUUUCUUCAUCAUUGGAUAUUGGAUCGAACCCAUAGUGGGAGGUCUUCUAUAUAUAUGCGAUUUCUUCCUCUUCUAUACCGUAUCUAGUCUGUUUACCUUGUUGCUGAAUUUACAUUCUUGGUAUUGUAUAUAAGAAGAACUUGAGCUCUACAAGGAAUGGGCGUAUGGGCCGAGACAAGCUUUUUCACGAUGGUAGCUGUAUGAUAGCGGUGACGGUGAGGCUGAACCACAGAAGCGGGAUUGACAAGGUGGCGAGUCAUUCAUUACAAAUGGGGUCAAAACCGAAGGGAAGAGUCCAUAUAGCCGCCCUCCAUCUCCUAUAUCCAAAAAGGUCUGAAGAAGGAUGAAGUGUUGAAAGAGUUCCAAGCAUGGUCCUAUCCAAAAAAGCCUGUAAUAAAGAACACGAUAGGGGCGGCUUCGUUAAGGUGUUAAGGAAUGAGUGCUUAACCUAAAGUCGACUUCGGGUUUCCAAACCAAUUGACAGUCUCUUUCUAGUGCUUUAUUGACAUUAUCGUAUUAUAGCAUCGUGUGCUCUUUCCCCCCGGUAUCGCGUAUUUCUCAAGAAAAGGGUAAUAUGCGUAAGGCCUUGGAAUAGGCCGUUGUUCAGUGAAAAAAAGUUGAUGAAACCCCGUGAUUUUGGCAUCACAUACAAAAUGAAGUCUUUUUCCUAGUGCACCUCGUACAAUCAACAAACAUCAGAUCGGGGGCUAUGCCUGGGCUGAGUUCCUGAUAGGGGUAUGUUCUUGUUCUAUAGGGCAAGUAAGGAAAUGACCAUUUACAAAGGCCAAGAAAGAAUAGAUCAACGGCUGAAAAGAGUGGUUCUUGGCUUAGCCCGCUGGGCUUGCUUUUAGGUCCAAAUCUGGGUCUCGGGAUGGAGAGAAUCAAUCUAGCUUUCGGUGGUAGGAGGAAUCCCCAUAGCUGCCACUGCAAUAGCCCUUUCUUCUCUGUCCGGCGAAUAUAGAUAGCUUCCUCCCUUAGCUAGGUACGGCUCUUUCGAGCAAUCAAUCAAUCAAUGCCAAUGGAUCAAUGAGUAGUGGGGUUUCUAGUAGGGCAAUUCUUAGGGCGGGUUUGAAGUUUGAACAUAUAUGAAGGGGAUGCGCAUAUUUCAAAUAUUGGUAGUGGAGAUAUCGGUAGUGAAGAUAGUGACUUUCUCGUAGUAGGAGUCAACAAUGCUGGUAUGACUGUUCACAUCCUUGCUUCUUAGGAGACCCAAUUAUUCCCCAAUGAUGCUAGAAGAAAUGAAGCCCCCUAUUUCAUUUCUUUCUCUCCCGAAAGCGUCUGUCUAGUUACGAGGUGUCGAGUGGAUCCCUACUGUCGGAAGUGACAAUCACAAAACAAUGAUUCGUUAAUAUGUUAAUAAUAUAACCUGCN